UUUGUAAAGCGCCUGCCGCCCUCGCCACCUCGCCGUCGCGCCGAUAAAACUCUGAAAUAACGAGUUCUAUCUUCUGUCCACCAUGCGAUCGUGUACCGUGCACACCGUCAACCGCAGCGCGCCUCUCGCAAGAUCGCCCAAGAGCAACCUGCGCAGGAUCGAUCCCAUGAAGACCGACCUGGUGGUGCCCGAGAGGUCGCCACGAUUUUCAGUGUCGGCGCCCGUCGUCCCCUCCUCGGACACUUUCGACCCCUCCACCGACAGCCUGCACUCGGCCAUGAGGCCGAUCAUCAUGCUGGCCCAAUGCUUCUCCAUGCUUCCCGUGUGCGGUGUCACUAAGCCGGAUGCCUCGUAUCUUCGAUUCACAUGGCGCAGCCUGAAGAUCCUCUACUCAGGGGUCAUUUUCCUGGGCGUAUUCAUGUUGACGGUCUUCAACGUUCUGUGGAUGUUCACCACUGGGGUGAACUCCAGCAGAAUGACGACUUUCGCCUUCUACGCCACCACCCUGGUGACCGCGGUUCUGUUCGUGCAGCUCGCGAGACAAUGGCCCUGCCUGGCUCUUACCUGGGAGAAACUGGAACGCGAAUUCACUUCCCGACACAGGAGGGUCUCGAGAACCACUUUGGCGACUCGCUUUAAAAUCGUGACCACCGUUGUCAUGUUGCUCGCGUCAGUGGAACACGUCUUCGCCAUUCUGUCCACGUACAGCAGCGCGAUAGAGUGCGCGACGUCUCGUGGGUACACGGACAUUAUCGGUACUUAUUUCCAGGCGCAAUUUCCGCAGGUAUUCUCCAUGAUAUCAUACAGUCUCUGGAAAGGAAUUCUGAUGGACAUUGUAAAUGUUCUCAGUACAUUCUCGUGGAAUUUCGUCGAUCUGUUUCUCAUUCUCAUCAGCAUCGCUCUGGUGGAUCAGUUCAAGCAAUUGAACAGCCGCCUGAACUCGAUAAGGGGAAAGCACAAUUUCCUUGUUAAGGCGAUGCCGGAAUGGUGGUGGGCCGAGGCUAGGAACGACUACAAUCACCUGGCGACCUUAACGCGCAAAGUGGACUCCCAAAUCUCGAGCAUCGUUCUCCUGUCCUUCGCCACCAACCUGUAUUUCAUCUGCAUUCAGCUGCUGUUCUCCUUCAAUCCGAAACGCGGCGUCGUGCGGACGAUCUAUUUUUGCUUCUCUUUCGGCUUCCUGCUGGCGAGGACAACGGCGGUGUCCUUGUAUGCGGCUUCCGUUCACGACGAGUCACUCUUACCGGCGCCGAUCUUGUACAGCAUCUCCAGUUCUAGUUACGGAAACGAGGUCUCGAGAUUCUUGACGCAAGUAACGACGGAUAAUAUAAGUUUAACGGGGAUGAAGUUUUUCUCCGUGACGAGAAGCCUCGUGUUAACCGUCGCUGGAACCAUCGUGACUUACGAACUGGUUCUGGUACAGUUCAAUUCCGUCCAGCAAGUGGACCAGACGAACAAUACGAACGUUUGCGAGGUGAGGUAGAGAGAGAGAGAGAGAGAAACCGCUUGCGAGAAGGCUUUUGAAAGGACCUCAAACGUCUUGCGCCCCCGCUUCUCUGCAUCUGCAAAUCACGAGUCUUGAAGAAUGCCACGCAAUAUUUCAUGGUACCUUGUAUAUAAAUUCUAGUUUCCGUUAAAACUAAGCGAAGGUAUGUUUCUGGAUCGAAAGAGCCUUGAGGGAUGCGUUUCAAUGGAACUUAACGAUCGUAUUACGCACAGGAUAACGCACACUUAGACGUACGUCUACGACGGCGGAGAACACGCUGUCGUUCGCAGGAGUGAACUACGAAGGGUACCACACAUAAGUGUACUUUGUAAGGUGUCUCUCGAUGUGUUGUACAAAGUCUAUCGUAACUUGUGUGCAAUUAUUCUCAUCCGCUUAUGACGUACGUCGCGUCCCAACGAUUUUGUGAACGAGACAAGCAGGAGGGGAAUUUUAACAUAAAACCACGUACUCCAACGAUGUUAUUUAUUAGAAAAAUGUCCUGUACGAAGUAUUAAUCGAAAAUAUAUUUACGCAGAAAUAAUCACGGGAUAAAAAGAUCCCGUCGUAAAACCCGAAGUGCAUUUAUUUGUGAGCAUAUAUGAAUGAUGAAAAUGCGCGGACUAGCCUAUUGCAUUUAUUGAGAUACUCGAAAUAGCCGGAAGUUUGCUAUUUUUAAUAAAUAAAACACAUGAAGAAUUGCAAAAUAAUUAGCGAUUGGCAAUCGAUAAGAGAUACA